rnacentral:rRNA from 1 species
UAGUCCACGCCGUAAACGAUGGAUACUAGCUGUUGGGCGUAAGCUCAGUGGCCAAGCGAAAGUGAUAAGUAUCCCACCUGGGGAGUACGACCGCAAGGUUGAAACUCAAAGGAAUUGACGGGGGCCCGCACAAGCGGUGGAGCAUGUGGUUUAAUUCGAUGAUACGCGAGGAACCUUACCAGGGCUUAAAUGUAGAGUGAUAGGGCUAGAGAUAGCUUUUUCUCGGACACUUUACAAGGUGCUGCAUGGUUGUCGUCAGCUCGUGCCGUGAGGUGUCAGGUUAAGUCCUAUAACGAGCGCAACCCCUACUGCUAGUUGCUAACNGGUUAAGCUGAGGACUCUAGUGGGACUGCCGGUGCAAACCGCGAGGAAGGUGGGGAUGACGUCAAAUCAUCACGGGCCCUUACGUCCUGGGGCUACACACGUGCUACAAUGGUAGGGGACAAUGAGC